rnacentral:lncRNA from 1 species
AACUGUCAUUGAUCGACUCAGGGAUAAGCUAUCCAACUUUGAUCUAAUUAAGGAUGUUCAGAGUCUAUUUCAUGUUUUGCAUGAUGAUUACCAGGGUCACCAGUGCUGAUAGCAUAAAUGCAGAAGUUAUUUUCACAAAACUUGCAUUAUUGGCUUGGGCUUGAAGGGAUUAGUAGACAUGAAGAGACAAGUAUGUUCAAAGACAGGAUGGAGACAAAGACUCCCUAAGUUGGAGAAACAUUAA